AGGAAAUGGCAUUCUGCAUAGACGUGAGCAAAUUCAUCUCUUUCCAGUUGCUUUUCACAUGCAGAAACUGGGUGACGUGACGGGGAGCACUGUGUCCACUGCAUGCCUUUGAUGUCCAGUUCCCCUCAGGGUCCGCAGUGUCGCUGACAUCACGUGAAGCAUUGGGUCACCUUUGCACAGGCAGCUGCAGGCUCUGGCCACAUGGGCACCUUUGGACCUCACGCCAAAUAGGAGUCUCGGUGGAACUCGGCCCAAGAAUCUGCAUUUAAGCCAGGAUCACAGAGAUUAUGAAGCAAAGGCCGCUGAAGCUGAAAAAGACCACGCUUCGGGAAUCACUGGACACUGUUUUCUCCCCCUGAGGCCUUGCCUCACCCCUGGUGCCACAUUCUGCCUCUCCGGCUCUGUUUCCCACUUCACUGUCACAUUCAAUGGAACAGACCGUGUUGCCUGACCAACCUGUCACCCAUCCCAAGCUUAACAUGAACCUCACUGUAGUACCAUCUCAGUACUCACGGCACCGAGCAGAGCACCACGUCUACCUUCUCUGCGGACACCUGCUCCAAGGCCCUGUCCUUGUCACCUUGAUACUAGCACCAGAGGCCUAACUUGGUCCUCCCUGGCCCUGCACAGCACCUCUA